rnacentral:rRNA from 1 species
UACGUAGGGUGCAAGCGUUGUUCGGAAUUACUGGGCGUAAAGGGCGCGUAGGCGGGCCUGUAUGUCGAUUGUGAAAGCCCAGGGCUCAACCUUGGAAUUGCAGUCGAAACUGCAGGUCUUGAAUGCCUGAGGGGAUGGCGGAAUUGCUGGUGUAGAAGUGAAAUUCGUAGAUAUCGGGAGGAACACCUGUGGCGAAGGCGGCCAUCUGGACGGUGACUGACGCUGAGACGCGAAAGCGUGGGUAGCAAACAGG